rnacentral:rRNA from 1 species
AGCAGCCGCGGUAAUACGGAGGGUGCGAGCGUUAAUCGGAAUUACUGGGCGUAAAGCGCGCGUAGGUGGCUUGAUAAGCCGGUUGUGAAAGCCCCGGGCUCAACCUGGGAACGGCAUCCGGAACUGUCAGGCUAGAGUGCAGGAGAGGAAGGUAGAAUUCCCGGUGUAGCGGUGAAAUGCGUAGAGAUCGGGAGGAAUACCAGUGGCGAAGGCGGCCUUCUGGACUGACACUGACACUGAGGUGCGAAAGCGUGGGUAGCAAACAGGAUUAGAUACCCUGGUAGUCCACGCCGUAAACGAUGUCGACUAGCCGUUGGGGUCCUUGAGACCUUUGUGGCGCAGUUAACGCGAUAAGUCGACCGCCUGGGGAGUACGGCCGCAAGGUUAAAACUCAAAUGAAUUGACGGGGGCCCGCACAAGCGGUGGAGCAUGUGGUUUAAUUCGAUGCAACGCGAAGAACCUUACCUACCCUUGACAUCGUGCGAACUUGGUAGAGAUACCUUGGUGCCUUCGGGAACGCACAGACAGGUGCUGCAUGGCUGUCGUCAGCUCGUGUUGUGAAAUGUUGGGUUAAGUCCCGUAACGAGCGCAACCCUUGUCCCUAUUUGCCAGCGAUUCGGUCGGGAACUCUAGGGAGACUGCCGGUGACAAACCGGAGGAAGGUGGGGACGACGUCAAGUCAUCAUGGCCCUUACGGGUAGGGCUACACACGUGCUACAAUGGUCGGUACAAAGGGUUGCAAUACCGCGAGGUGGAGCUAAUCCCAUAAAGCCGGUCUCAGUCCGGAUCGGAGUCUGCAACUCGACUCCGUGAAGUCGGAAUCGCUAGUAAUCGUGAAUCAGAAUGUCACGGUGAAUACGUUCCCGGGCCUUGUACACACCGCCCGUCACACCAUGGGAGUGGACUGCACCAGAAGUGGUUAGCCUAACUUCGGAGGGCGAUCACCACGGUGUGGUUCAUGACUGGGGUGAAG